rnacentral:rRNA from 1 species
CCUACGGGGUGCUGCAGUGGGGAAUAUUGGACAAUGGGCUAAAGCCUGAUCCAGCCAUGCCGCGUGUGUGAAGAAGGCCUUCGGGUUGUAAAGCACUUUCAGUGGGGAAGAAAGCCUUGGGGCUAAUACCCUCGAGGAAGGACAUCACCCACAGAAGAAGCACCGGCUAACUCCGUGCCAGCAGCCGCGGUAAUACGGAGGGUGCGAGCGUUAAUCGGAAUUACUGGGCGUAAAGCGCGCGUAGGCGGUCUGAUAAGCCGGUUGUGAAAGCCCCGGGCUCAACCUGGGAACGGCAUCCGGAACUGUCAGGCUAGAGUGCAGGAGAGGAAGGUAGAAUUCCCGGUGUAGCGGUGAAAUGCGUAGAGAUCGGGAGGAAUACCAGUGGCGAAGGCGGCCUUCUGGACUGACACUGACGCUGAGGUGCGAAAGCGUGGGUAGCAAACAGGAUUAGAUACCCUAGUAGUC